AGUGAACGCUGGCGGCGUGCCUAAUACAUGCAAGUCGAACGGAGAUUAAGUAGCUUGCUAUUUAAUCUUAGUGGCGCACGGGUGAGUAAUAUAUAGCUAACUUGCCCAUUACUAAGGGACAACAGUUGGAAACGACUGCUAAUACCUUAUACUCCGUAUCUAUAUAAGUAGAUACGGGAAAGUUUUUCGGUAAUGGAUAGGGCUAUAUCGUAUCAGCUAGUUGGUAAGGUAACGGCUUACCAAGGCUAUGACGCGUAACUGGUCUGAGAGGAUGAUCAGUCACACUGGAACUGAGACACGGUCCAGACUCCUACGGGAGGCAGCAGUAGGGAAUAUUGCUCAAUGGGGGAAACCCUGAAGCAGCAACGCCGCGUGGAGGAUGACACUUUUCGGAGCGUAAACUCCUUUUCUUGGGAAAGAA
rnacentral:rRNA from 1 species